rnacentral:rRNA from 1 species
CCUACGGGAGGCAGCAGUGAGGAAUAUUGGUCAAUGGACGCAAGUCUGAACCAGCCAUGCCGCGUGCAGGAUGACGGCUCUAUGAGUUGUAAACUGCUUUUGUACGAGGGUAAACCCCGAUCCGUGAACCGGUUGGAAAGUACCGUAGGAAUAAGGAUCGGCUAACUCCGUGCCAGCAGCCGCGGUAAUACGGAGGAUCCGGACGUUAUCCGGAUUUAUUGGGUUUAAAGGGUGCGUAGGCGGUUUGAUAAGUUAGAGGUGAAAUGUCGGGGCUCAACCCCGAAACUGCCUCUAAUACUGUUGGACUAGAGAAUAGUUGCGGUAGGCGGAAUGUAUGGUGUAGCGGUGAAAUGCUUAGAGAUCAUACAGAACACCGAUUGCGAAGGCAGCUUACCAAACUAUAUCUGACGUUGAGGCACGGAAGCGUGGGUAGCAAACAGGAUUAGAUACCCGGGUAGUC